AUUGAACGCUGGCGGCAUGCCUUACACAUGCAAGUCGAACGGCAGCACGGGUGCUUGCACCUGGUGGCGAGUGGCGAACGGGUGAGUAAUACAUCGGAACAUGUCCUGUAGUGGGGGAUAGCCCGGCGAAAGCCGGAUUAAUACCGCAUACGAUCCACGGAUGAAAGCGGGGGACCUUCGGGCCUCGCGCUAUAGGGUUGGCCGAUGGCUGAUUAGCUAGUUGGUGGGGUAAAGGCCUACCAAGGCGACGAUCAGUAGCUGGUCUGAGAGGACGACCAGCCACACUGGGACUGAGACACGGCCCAGACUCCUACGGGAGGCAGCAGUGGGGAAUUUUGGACAAUGGGCGAAAGCCUGAUCCAGCAAUGCCGCGUGUGUGAAGAAGGCCUUCGGGUUGUAAAGCACUUUUGUCCGGAAAGAAAUCCUUGACUCUAAUACAGUCGGGGGAUGACGGUACCGGAAGAAUAAGCACCGGCUAACUACGUGC
rnacentral:rRNA from 1 species